AUUGAUACGGUCGAGAGAGAGAGAGAGAGAGAGAGAAAGAGGGGCAUUUCCACUUGGUCUGGUCUUUCCUCCCCCCCGCCCCGCCCUCCAUGGCGACUCGCUGGCUCCGGGAAAUUUGGCAACUGGGAGUCCGGGGAGGGCUGAGACCGAGAGUGACCGCGACCGGCUGUUCCAGGUAUAUGCCAUGCUGUGGAAAUCUGGUGAUCCGAGACCCUCAUAUUAUCAGCAGUCUUGAUUGGGAUCUCAGUGGUCAGCACAGCCGGACAUUUAUCAGCUUUACAGGACCUUUCAUCAACAAACGGAAGGAAUAUUCAGAGAGGAGGAUUAUUGGUUAUUCCAUGCAGGAAAUGUACGGUGUUGUGGCCAACGUGGAUGAAUAUAAGGAAUUUGUUCCAUGGUGUAAAAAAUCAACGGUGGUCUCUAAGCGAGCAGGUCAUGUGAGGGCCCAGCUGGAAGUUGGCUUCCCUCCUGUUGUGGAACGUUACACCUCUAUUGUGACACUAGUGCAACCUCACUUGGUAAAGGCAGUCUGCACUGAUGGGAAGCUUUUCAAUCAUCUGGAGACAAGCUGGCGUUUCAGUCCUGGCAUUCCAGGCUAUCCUCGCACAUGUACCUUGGACUUCGCGAUUGUCUGUUGGCUUUCAGCUCACAAACAUGGAAAGCAAACUAAAUAUGACUACACAAUACAACUUUGGGUAAGUCAAUUAUUAACCAUUACUCUCAAGUUUAAUACAAGCAUAAACUUACCAUAUAUACACCCAUGCUAAAUGCAUUGCUAAACUCUAUGAAUUCCCACACACUUAAUGUCACUAGCAAAGUUGAACUUCAACUGAGAAACCAGCAAGCGACCAUAUCAAGUCUGCUUCACUUUAACUUGUCAACCGGGCCACAAUGGCUGCAUUCAUAUAUUUCACUAGGGUUAACUAAAAAGAUUCUAUGGUUUGGACCAUACAAUGUUUUAUAGAGAUAGGCCUUGACCAUUCAAAGUUACGAUGAACUUCAAAAAAUCUUACAAUCCAUCCUCGAAAUUAUGACUGUCACCCCUCCACAUUUAUACGAAUGUGUUUUGGAUGCUUGGGAACAAGCUUGCAUUUACAACCAACUGUAACAUUCCAUGGUCAUGAUUGCAGUUUGUGACAUUUUUGCCGGUUUCCAGCAAAAAAAUGCCCAUUCAGGAGAAGGGAAUUGCUUAACCACCACGUGAAUUAUUUAAUGACCACAGCCACUCAUUUAUAACAAACAUAAAAGCGAUCAUAAAAUCGAAUCCUAUUUUGUGAUGCCUCCACUUACAAUUGCAACAAUUUAUGUCUGAGAUUCUGGGCUCCAUUAUGGUUGUAACUUGAAAACUAUUUGUAUUUUGUUUGAUUCUGUUUGGUUUUAGCUUAGCAUGCUUUGUGGAAUGUCCAGGUUUCUCAGAUCUACAAUACCUCUCAUACUUUAUCUGAUCCAGGGCAGAAGAGAAGAGAGUCAGAAAAGCAUUUAGGUUAGCAACAUAAACAAGCUUCAGGGAAGCAUGAGAAUAAUCCCUAACUAUGUUAUGUUGACACAUAUAUUGGGUGUUCCAAUAAAAGGGAGUAUGUAUAGCUUAUGCUUGAACUGUGCAGUUCUUGAUGCUCUGAGUUUAGCUGUUUGUUUGGAACCAUUUCAUUAUCCUACUGGGCACUGAUGACGUUACUUAGUUGAGUAAUAAAACAUCUGUGAGCAAAUGACAAAACUUAGAGAUCACAAGAGACAAGUUUUAAAAAGAGGGACUCAAAAGUCUCAAAAGACAAUAAAAAAGCUAAGCUAAGGAGGAAACAAAAAGAUCAACAUAUAUCUCCUUCAGCAGCCAAAAAGCAGAUUAACACAAUCAAGCGGAAAGUAUUUUAAUCAAGGAACUACCAUGGAGAAAACCACAUUCCUACCAACACUGGCAGGACUAGCUAUUGUAUAAAAAUCCCACCCUCAGUAGCACUGAUAUUAUCUAGUUGGGUGAUGAAAUAACCAUGCUCAGAGAGCACCAAGGACUCCACGUCAACUCUGAGCUACAUACGUUACAUUGAAAUUUGCCUUAAUAGACUUAACAGGGAAUCUAAAUGAUAUAAUUUGUAAUAGAAACAAAAGCAGUGGAACUGUGGAGGGUUGGUAGUUGCACGCCCACAAUUUUCUUUUCAAAUGUCCUUCAUUAAUCAAUCAAGUUAGUAACACAAAAUACUUUGCUUUUAUAUAGAAUGCAGAUUCUAAACCUGCUUUCCAGGAUUCAACCUUCCUUUCACCCGCUCUCUCAAUUUCAUAUGCCUCUCAAAACAGGACACACACUUGCAUUCUGAAAACCACUGCAGAAAGUAUCAAGCAUUUGAAAUAGGAAGAAAUUCCUAGGACCCAGUGAUAAAAAAAACAACUCUGCUUCAGACAAUAGACCCACCCCCUACUUAAAGGGGCGCUGCUAUUUAACUUUCUCACAUUAGCGCUUCUCGUACAGUUCAGAACCACCCUGCCCCAAAGCCGUUGAUGAGAAUUCUAGAAUGACUUGUUCUCAUUUCUUCAAUUAAACUUUCCUUUUACUGAGGAACAUCUAUGAAAUCGAGCUUCCAUAUGAUAUAUUCACUACAAUAAUUAUUAUAGGAUUCUGUGUAGUCUUUAGCAAUGGGGUUAUCUAAUAAGGAAGCCAGGAAUUUCAACUGAUUAUAUUAGCUUUCCUGCAGAUUAGCAAUUUGCAUGCCAGCUGGGAAUUUUAGGAGUUGCAGUCCUAACAUAUCAUGAACUUAUCAGGUUGAGGAUACGUAGAUUAGUGUACAUGAUCUCUAUUUCCAUGUUCACCAGAUUAGAUGUUUAAUGUCAAACCAAUUUUUGGUUUGGGCAAGACGUACAGAAAUAAUAUAGUUUCAGUAAGCAUCAUUGUAAUGAGUCCUAUAUUACAGUAGGAUUUCCUUUUAAAAUCCAAAGCCUUUUUUCCAUGCUCUGCAGGUUCAGGCCUUCAUGUAUGCAGAAUGCACAAGAGGAAAACCAAAAAAUGUCUAAACACACCUGUAUCAGUAGCGGGUUCCACUUACCUUCGCUACCAGUUUGGAAUUGGGAGCGUGCGCGCUCACAGCGCUUCUGCGCAUGUGCAGAAUCAUCUGGACAUGAUGAUGUCCGGGCGGGUGGGCAGAGCCUCCCACCACCGCCACUACCGGUUCGUCCGAACCAAGGCAAACCAGUAGAAACCCACCAUUAUCUUUCAACCGUAUCCAAGAGGAAGAGUAAAAGUGGCCCCAAUAACAGUAUGGAUCAAGACUAAUAUGACAACACAAAGUGAAGCUGUUGAACCAACCCGCCAGGAGAAAGAGCUAUUAUCUAAACAGCUUGGAGAAUCUCUUACAAGAUAUAAUCAAGCACCUUUCCUUAUUUGAAGUUGACACAAUAGGGUUGUCAAAUAUGUUUACUGCAUUUAUUUAAAAAAACCUACCCAAGUAGUAUUAUUUGCUUUCAGUUUUGGUGGCGGGGGGAGGGUCCUUGUUUUGUUUUAAAUACAACAAAAACUUUUUUUUUUAAUUUACAUUUAUAUCCCACCCUUCUCCGAAGACUCAGGGCGGCUUACAGUGUGUAAGGCAAUAGUCUCAUUCUAUUUGUAUAUUUACAAAGUCAACUUAUUGCCCCCCCAACAAUCUGGGUCCUCAUUUUACCUACCUUAUAAAAGAUGGAAGGCUGAGUCAACCUUGGACCUGGUGGGACUAGAACCUGCAGUAAUUGCAGGCAGCUGUGUUUUAAUAACAGGCUUCUUACAGCCUGAGCCACACCGCGGCCCUAAACUAAAAUUAGGAAACUCCAGAGGUCAGAGCUUGGCUAAUUCAAGAAUCAGCGAGUAUUAAAAUUUACUUCUUAGAACCAAUAAUUUAUGUUCUUAACUUCAAAUAAAGGUUAUAAAGGAAGUAAAGCUGAAUUUGUUUCAUUCAUCCAUUCCAACAAGUAGAUGUUUUGUCAGCAUAAGCAUAUAUGUGCAUCAAAAAGCCCUUUUUACAUUCUGAGAAUUAAAACAAGCUACAUAAAUAUAUUUAACUGGCUAAACAUAUAGCAAAUCUUUAAAUGACUACUGAGUGAUUUUUUUUAAUCUUUUAUUUUUGAAUAUGUAUUCAUUCAUUCUUGAGAUUCCAUGUUUUAAUCAAAUUUUAGGUAAUACUGAAACAAGCUAUACAUUUUAAUGCUGCUAGAAUGCUUUUUAAUGUUAAGUCAUUCCAAACAACAAAUAAAUAUUUCUGGAUUUGGCCCACUUGUUGUAUAACAAGUAUAUCCAUCUAUCCAUCCAACCAUCCAUCCAUCCAUCCAUCAUCCAUCCAUCCAUCCUCCCACCCAUAAUCUGGGUGUCCACAAAGGUGUCCAUUCAAAAUGGCCUAAGCCUGAUUAAUACAGUUUUUACUUCACUGACAUUUAGGACUUCCUUCCUCUUUACUUUUAGUAGCUACCUCUUUUCCUCAUUUAAUACACAACUGUAUUUAUAACUGCAGAACAGAGUAUAAUCUCACAUCUUUAUUUCCAAAACAUUUCAGAAAUAUAGACUUGGCUGAAGUUAAAAAAUAUCCAACAUGCUUUUAACAGAAAUUUAGGGCAAAGCCAAGUUUCUAAUCAACAUAUCCUCUCUGUGCAUAGAAAGUGGGCAGACACCUGUUCCACUGACUAUAAUAGGAUAGGCAAGUAAAUCACAUUUGCAUCUAAUUGCACAAUAAUACAAUCAUAAUUACAGCUUUUCCCAAAUUCUUAAGCACCGGGGAUACAUACUUCCACUUUUAAAGAUUCACACUUUACAUAGAAUAUACCAGGCUUAAAAUCAUGAAGCCAAUCACUGGGUUCAUCAUUUUCCCCAACAUGUUAACGAUUCCCAAUACAUGUGUUUCCCUAACAAUGAAACUAAUACAUUAAAAAACCCUGUCAUUCCAAUUAUAAUUAUAAUAAAGACAAAUAAAUAAAAUAAUACAUUCCGCCCACAAAGCUAUUUAAUUAUCCUUUAUAAGCACUUCUAAAUAAUUAUCAAGACAAUGUCUAUGUUCAUAUAAACAUAGGAGCCAUUACGCCACAUUAAAAAUAAUGUUCUUGUAGAAAUGCAAGUCUAUCCUUCCUUUUCUUGUCAACCUCCCAUACAUUUGCUCUUGAGCAUAUUCUAUAUUCCAACAUAUGCAUAGAAAAUGAGGGAACCUGUAAGAGAAAGGGAAUACCUCAAGUGUAUUGACACCACAGGUUACAGGUUAUAGGUUGGAAGAACGUUUCCAAAGAAAGCACUUACCAAAGUAUCAAAGGUUCUGAAAAAACAUGUAUGAUAAAUACUGCUAGGUAUCUAAACUUCAGGCUAUUGGCAAUGUUUCUUGCUCCUGGACCUGGAAUACCUGCUACCACUUAUAAAAACUGUAGGAGAGAGAAUCAUAUGUUCACAGAAAUUUCUAAUUCUACAGUAGAGCCCAAGAACAUGUUACAUAUCCUAUUCCUAGAAAAUACUACUUCCAUCAUAAACUGAAAAGUUGUAGAAAUGCAAUUACUCAGAAGAUAAUAAAAUAUACAAAUAUAAAGACAAAUAAACCAAACAGAAAAAAACAGCAGUCAAAAGUAUAAAGGGAUUAAGAACAUAAAGAUCAGCAGUUUAUGCAGUCAUUACAAUUGCAGUUUAUCUAGCUUUCAUCCUAAUCUUCACUAUCCAUGUUUCUUGUACAUGAAAGUACCACGUCACCGCUCCACCCAGUAUUGGCUCAGAUUAAACUUUUGGAGAAAAAAUGCUGAGUGGGGAGCGCAACCAGGAAUGGUAAAUAAAUCUAAAAAUAAGUGCUCUGGAAUCAGCAUUUGAAUCUAUUUGCUAGGAAACUUAGUAGGUCUGGAGGCCAGAUUAAAAAAAGAGAAUCUGUUUACCCUACAAACAGAUCAUGGGCAGACUCCCUGGCAAGACAAGAGCAAACAGGCUAUUGAACUUUCUGUAAAAGUCAGAUAAUGGGAUUGUAUGCCAAAAGAGAACAUUACGAAAAAGAUGUUUAAAGAGAGAAAUUACCAUCUUCAAGAACAUGUUCGUAUAAAUUACUAUUACCUAUUAUACUAUAUUAAGAUAUAAUUGAUAUAGCAUAUCAAUUAUAUAUUUAAAUUUUAAAUAUAUUUUAAAUUUUUAAAAAUUGCAACUCAGCUCCUAUGUACAGUCACAUUAAGAAAUCAGCAACAAUAAAUAAUCCUAUGUUAAGAGGUUAAUUUUAAGAGACUACUACUCCAAACUAUACAAAGGAAGAAGCCCAGGCCUAACCCUCUCUUCAGAUGCAACACUAAGUUUGCACAAGGAGCAGCUAGUUUUAAGUGGUUUAUAUGCAAACCAAAAUAUGCAUGUUUCGAUUUUUUUUCCAGAUACAACUCUAAACAGCUAUUUUAUUGUGGGCAUGGGUUGAAAGUUGUUCAACCCUUUCAGCUCCUAUAAUUGAGUGGUUUUCUUUGCUGUUAUCUAAUAGUCAUCCAGAUUCUGACAGUCCCAAAUGCUCAAUCCAAAUCCUACUGCUUUCCAUAUACAGAACAUCAAGAAGUGUUUCAGGUGUUUAUUCUAUCAAAACAAAAGAACAGUAAAAACAUUUCUGCUUUUGUUUCUAUCAAACUGCAGUCUAAAAAAGCCAAAAUAAUUUAG